GAUGAAGAACGUAGCGAAAUGCGAUAAGUAAUGUGAAUUGCAGAAUUCAGUGAAUCAUCGAAUCUUUGAACGCACAUUGCGCCCGCUAGUAUUCUGGCGGGCAUGCCUGUCCGAGCGUCAUUUCAACCCUCAGGGCCCCUUCGGGGGACCUGGCGUUGGGGAUCGGCCCGCCCCCGUGCGGCGCCGUCCCCGAAAUAUAGUGGCGGUCUCGCUGCAGCCUCCCCUGCGUAGUAGCACACCUCGCACUGGAGAGCGGCGCGGCCACGCCGUGAAACCCCCAACUUCUGAAUGUUGACCUCGGAUCAGGUAGGAAUACCCGCUGAACUUAAGCAUAUCAAUAAGCGGAGGA
rnacentral:misc_RNA from 1 species